rnacentral:rRNA from 1 species
GAUGAACGCUAGCGGCAGGCCUAACACAUGCAAGUCGAGGGGUAGGGUAGCAAUACCUGAGACCGGCGCACGGGUGCGUAACGCGUAUGCAAUCUACCUUUUACAGGGGAAUAGCCCAGAGAAAUUUGGAUUAAUGCCCCAUAGUAUUAUAGAAUCGCAUGGUUUUAUAAUUAAAGUUCCAACGGUAAAAGAUGAGCAUGCGUCCCAUUAGUUAGUUGGUAAGGUAACGGCUUACCAAGACUGUGAUGGGUAGGGGUCCUGAGAGGGAGAUCCCCCACACUGGUACUGAGACACGGACCAG